GUUUUGUCAUGUCUGUCACUAGGCAACUUCCCCACAUUUUGCCUCAGCAAAUUUAGAGAUGGGAUGUCAAACAAUGUCUUCAUGGGCUAUAAGCUGGAACAAUGUCAGAAAAACUCACAAAGGAAACUGAAGUGCUGCUAAUCAUUCUAUUUUUGGCACUGUGAAGUUGUCACCAUCACAAUGGUCAAUAUUGAAGGAUGGGUGUUGGAUGGUUCAAUAUGCCUCAUCAUCAGACUGCAGUCUCCAUCCACAAUGCGACUGCAUGUUGUGAUCAGAGAGAGGGGUACCAGAAUUUCUUUUGAAACCUUAUGGUGUGGUUUAUUGACAAGGAUGUAGUCCACUAAUUGA